CACCUCGCCGUACCGUGUCUGAACGAUCCGUGGAUUGAGCUUGCUCUUGAUCGAGAGCGAGAGGGUGGGCGGCGCAAUCAGACAGACGAGAAUCAGGAAGAGUUCCAUCUUGCUCCUCUCCGUCCCUACCCCCGCGCGUCACCGCCACGAUUACCCUGUGCGACCACGCGCGCGCGCACAGACACACACAGUCGCACGCGGCUCCUCGCAAUCGCUAUCGAUCACCUGUUCCCGUGACGAUCGCUCUUCAUUUAGGCCUGUUCAAGCGCUAACUGCGCGCCACCUUGACGCAAGCUUGCGACUCACCUUCAGAUGCUCACGAUGCUAGCUCCGCGGUGUCUGCACUAUACAACACAUACACACACGAGGAAGCGGGGUAUGGUUGCACGAAGCACGCGAUCCACGAGAUUCCAAUAUCGAAGGAUAGAUCGAAGGUAUGUUUUCGAUACUCUUGUCGACUGUUGCUGAACGAUUCGUGCUUGAUUUGCAUAAACGCUUCGUCGCCACGACACUGUUUCUCGGUUCCCGCUACGCGAAUCACAGCUUCACGAAAAUUAUCACACGACACUGAUGACCAACAAGCGAACACAAUCACCGAGCGAGAGGAGCUCUAUAUAUACAUAUACAUAUGUAUAUAUGUAACGAGCGUGUCACGUUGUCGUUCCACGAUAGCCGGAUUGUUCACUGUUCGCGCGAGUAACUCUAUCGUUUGAUCCAGCCUGUGCUGCCAAUGAGAAGAACGUUUCCGGCUUGAACAACAGCCUCGAGCGGAUCAAACGUCAUCUCGUUGCAGAAACCCGUGCAUCGUUCCAUCACGUUAUUGCCGAUACGUACGCGACGUGUCGCCGCGAUCUGUCUCCGCGACAGUACACGAUAUCCGACAGAAAUAUUUCGAAAAGUAACACCGAUAUGCGCAAGACGAGGGAUAUAUGAACACUGUGGCACACCGAGGAAACACGGACACGGAAACAACAAGCCAAGUAACGCGGUACACAACACGUAACGUCGCCUCGAAGCUCACGAGACGGACUACGGUACGAGAAUGAGAAGGUCUGCGAGCAUUCGCGCAUCGCGACGCCAGAG
rnacentral:misc_RNA from 1 species